GGUUUGAUUAUGGCUCAGAUUGAACGCUGGCGGGAUGCUUUACACAUGCAAGUCGAACGGCAGCACGGACUUCGGUCUGGUGGCGAGUGGCGAACAGGUGAGUAAUGUAUCGGAACGUGCCUAGUAGCGGGGGAUAACACGCGAAAGCGUAGCUAAUACCGCAUACGCCCUUCGGGGAAAGCGGGGGACCUUCGGGCCUCGCACUAUUAGAGCGGCCGAUAUCGGAUUAGCUAGUUGGUGGGGUAACGGCUCACCAAGGCGACGAUCCGUAGCUGGUUUGAGAGGACGACCAGCCACGCUGGGACUGAGACACGGCCCAGACUCCUGCGGGAGGCAGCGGUGGGGAAUUUUGGACAAUGGGGGAAACCUGAUCCAGCCAUCCCGCGUGUGCGAUGAAGGCCUUCGGGUUGUAAAGCACUUUUGGCAGGGAAAGAACGGCACGGGAUAAUACCCCGUGCAACUGACAGUACCUGCAGAAUAAGCACCGGCUAACUACGUGCCAGCAGCCGCGGUAAUACGUAGGGUGCAAGCGUUAAUCGGAAUUACUGGGCGUAAAGCGUGCGCAGGCGGUUCGGAAAGAAAGAUGUGAAAUCCCAGAGCUUAACUUUGGAACUGCAUUUUUAACUACCGAGCUAGAGUGUGUCAGGAGGUGGAAUUCCGCGUGUAGCAGUGAAAUGCGUAGAUAUGCGGAGGAACACCGAUAGCGAAGGCAGCCUCCUGGGAUAACACUGACGCUCAUGCACGAAAGCGUGGGGAGCAAACAGGAUUAGAUACCCUGGUAGUCCACGCCCUAAACGAUGUCAACUAGCUGUUGGGGCCUUCGGGCCUUGGUAGCGCAGCUAACGCGUGAAGUUGACCGCCUGGGAGAUACGGUCGCAAGAUUAAAACUCAAAGGAAUUGACGGGGACCCGCACAAGCGGUGGAUGAUGUGGAUUAAUUCGAUGCAACGCGAA
rnacentral:misc_RNA from 1 species